GUUUCUUUUUCAGAACUUGGAUUUUUUUUUGGACCGACCCAAAUCAAUUUUCCUCCGGGAGCCGGGGAUCCCCUUUUCAUUUCUACCUCUGAAAUCUACACUUUGAAUAUUUUAUGAACUUGGAUUUUUUUUUGGACCGACCCAAAUCAAUUUUCCUCCGGGAGCCGGGGAUCCCCUUUUCAUUUCUACCUCUGAAAUCUACACUUUGAAUAUUUUAUGAACUUGGAUUUUCCUUUGUUUCAACCUAAACAGAGUGUCCUUCUUCGAGAGCCGGAACUUGGAUUUUUUUUUGGACCGACCCAAAUCAAUUUUCCUCCGGGAGCCGGGGAUCCCCUUUUCAUUUCUACUUCUGAACUCUACACUUUGAAUAUUUA